ACAGCAGCCGCCGCGGUAAAACGUAGGUGGCAAGCGUUGUCCGGAAUUAUUGGGCGUAAAGGGCUCGCAGGCGGUUUCUUAAGUCUGAUGUGAAAGCCCCCGGCUCAACCGGGGAGGGUCAUUGGAAACUGGGAAACUUGAGUGCAGAAGAGGAGAGUGGAAUUCCACGUGUAGCGGUGAAAUGCGUAGAGAUGUGGAGGAACACCAGUGGCGAAGGCGACUCUCUGGUCUGUAACUGACGCUGAGGAGCGAAAGCGUGGGGAGCGAACAGGAUUAGAUACCCCUGUAGUCCCUGUCUCUUAUAU
rnacentral:rRNA from 1 species